rnacentral:lncRNA from 1 species
GUGGUCUACAACUCUUCAUCCCGACUGCAUGGAGGUUGGUCUCUCUCUUCAGCUGGAUUUAGGCCACCAUCUGAGCCCCCGGGGUACGUUUUGUCUGACCCUGGCGCCAUUCGAACGGUUCUUCUACAGCAUCAGGCGUUCACCUGGCUCCUAGGGCUUUUGUGCUGUAGGCCUAUAUUUCCAGCUACUUUUGGAAAAAAUCUCUCUGGAGGCUCAAUGAGCUUGUCACAUCAGCCUGCCCAGAGUAUCAAGAAAGACUUAAUCAGCAGUGAAUACUCUCCACCAAGCCCUUGACCCAUUGUCAGUCUCUGGCAUCAGAUCCUUUCCAGUAGGGCAAAGUGCAACUGCAGCCAGCUCAUGCCUUCAAGAGAAGGACUGAAGAUCAUUGUGUGCCUAAACCAAGGAAGAUACCAUAUGAAGAUGAAAGCAGACAUUACAGUGGUGCAUCAUCUGCAAGCCAAGGAACACCAAAGAUUCCCACCAAGUCACCAGAAGCCAGGGACAGGCAUGGAACAGACUCUUUCUCACAGCCUUCAGAAGGAGCCAACCCUGCCGACACCUUGAUCUCAGACUUCCAGCCUCUAGAACUGUGAGACGAUCCACUUCUGCUGUUCAAGCCAACCACCUGUCGUGUUUUGUUAUGGCAGCCCUAGCCAGCUAAGACAACAGAUCAAUAAUAAACUUAGGUACAUCAA